rnacentral:lncRNA from 1 species
ACUAAAAGUGUGCCGCUUCUUUUCCCCAGCAGGAAUUCUGGAGCAGCCAUCUGCACUGCUGAUUGCUGCCAGGAGAUCCGUGCUCACUUUUUCAUGUCCUACAACAAUUUAUGCCCUCAGCAACCUGCACUGUGGCCACCAGGGUUCCCUCAUUGCCGGCUGAGAAAUCUGAAAACGUGCAUUGCAUCGUUUUGCCACAUUUCUUCAGGGAAAGUUGAGGCUCCCAAGCAGAAUCAGACAGAACUCUGGUGUCUGUGCUGUUCCGGCAGUGUGAAGGGUGAUGCAGUUUGGGUCACCAAGUCCUGCAUCCAUGGGCAAGCUGUGACCACAGAAACCUGCUGCUUCAUUUGGAGGCUGUGAGGAGAAUGCUGCUGCUUCUGGGAAGACUGGCUUUGGGAAUGGCCAGGCUGGGGGCUGGAUGUGUGUUGCACCAGGCCAGAAUAAGGAAAUGCUUUUUACAACAAACAGGUACUGUACUGUAACAUCACACCAGAAGUAUAUAACGGCCCUUUGUGAGGUUUCACCUCACAGUUCGAGGCUCUGUGCACCUUCAUUCUGCUGGAGCUGUGUAUUUAGCACUCCAAACAGUACAAUACAUUUAUGAAUGCCUUGUAUUGCCUGUCGCAUCCAGACCACUUGGCAAGUGACAUGCAACCAGCACAGCAAGCAGCAAUGCCUAAAGCAGAACAACCCAAAGAGAAAAUCUGGGAAGGCUCAGCAACACAGAGCACUGAGGUAUGAAGACCAACCUCCUGCUGCUUUUUUCCAACAACUCAGAAGCUCUUCUACACUACCACUCCACUUCAGAGGAAACAGCUGUUUUUGUUUGGUCUUCAUCGCAUGCUUCUCUACGUGUUUCCAUUUCACAGAUGCUAAAUUAUAUGUGCUGGAAAUGAACAUUAGUGCUGCUCCCGAGGAAGGCUGGGGUUUGGCCACGUGCACAUUAAAGGUGCAGUGCCAGUGGCACUGGGAUGGCCACUCAGAGCUGCUGCUGAGGCUGAAGGACGCCUUAGUUCCCAUAACCACAGUCAGGGAAAGGCCCCACAGGGCCUCACUGUCUUCAUCUCACACUUAAUUUCCUUUGAGUCACUGCAGGAAUGGGCUUCCCCAGUCCAGGCUGUAAACAUCCCUUUAUAAAUACAGUCUGCAAAAGCUGUUUGAUGUGAACAUUCCCCAGUUUGUUACAGAAUAGUAUUAUAAAACACCGAAUACCAAGAACAAGAAAACAAGUACAGAUGGAGUCCCGUCUCAACGUCUAUAGGUCCCCACGCCAGAAUUAGGCCUGGUGGGUUAAUUAUUUUAACAUUCAUGACACACAGCUUGUGAGGGAGAGCUGCAUAGAGGCAGACUAAGCUCCACAUUUAAUGUUCCUAGAAGGUCAAAUGACUGAAAGUGACAAACACAGCAUUCAAGCUCCUUUUUAACUGGAUGCAAUUAAUUAGACCAGAAGUGAAAACAGUUGCUUAAGUACUGAAGAAGCAGCACACCCUGCAAGUCAUUAUCAUAUGCCCAGAAUAAAUCCCUGUAGCGGUGUCA